rnacentral:rRNA from 1 species
UACGUAGGGUGCGAGCGUUAAUCGGAAUACUGGGCGUAAAGCGUGCGCAGGCGGUGAUGUAGAACAGAUGUGAAAAUCCCCCGGGCUCAACCCUGGGAACUGCAUUUGUGACUGCAUCGCUGGAGUGCGGCAGAGGGGAUGGAAUUCCGCGUGUAGCAGUGAAAUGCGUAGAGAUGUGGAGGAAUACCGAUGGCGAAGGCAGCCCCUGGAUAACACUGACGCUCAUGCACGAAAGCGUGGG